ACGGGAGGCAGCAGUGGGGGAUAUUGCACAAUGGAGGAAACUCUGAUGCAGCAACGCCGCGUGAAGGAAGAAGGUCUUCGGAUUGUAAACUUCUGUUCUUGGUGAAGAAACAAAUGACGGUAGCCAAGGAGAAAGCCACGGCUAACUACGUGCCAGCAGCCGCGGUAAUACGUAGGUGGCGAGCGUUGUCCGGAAUUACCGGGUGUAAAGGGUGCGCAGGCGGGACUGCAAGUUGGAUGUGAAAUCCCGGAGCUUAACUCCGGAACUGCAUCCAAAACUGUGGUUCUUGAGUGAAGUAGAGGUAGGCGGAAUUCCGAGUGUAGCGGUGAAAUGCGUAGAUAUUCGGAGGAACACCAGUGGCGAAGGCGGCCUACUGGGCUUUAACUGACGCUGAGGCACGAAAGUAUGGGGAGCAAAUAGGAUUAGAUACCCUGGUA
rnacentral:rRNA from 1 species